CAGCUCUUUGCACGCUCCCGUUUUCAACCCGCUGUCAUUGCAGGAGGACGGCAUCGCUGCUGCGAGGCUGCAGGGAGCGGUGGGACCCCACCUGUCCUGGGAUCAACACGGCGUGCAGGAAAAACCAGCUAUCACCUAUCCUGCUGGGAGCAGGUCCAUCCAGGGUUCAUCUCCGCAGGGAAAUGGAGCGUGAUGAAGACUGCCGCUUAUCUCAUUUGCUCCCCACGAGAGGUGAUCGAUCUGCACUGCGAAGGCUUUGUGCUGAUCGAUCCAUAAGUGUUUAUUGGUAGGCUCUCACCCGAGCUCUGUGUGCCCUUUGGGGGCUUCUCUGCCUUUCUGCCUUCUUCAGCCUUGCCUGCAGUGCUGCCUACCCAUGCUCGGGGCGUAGUGUGGUUCCUGGGCUGUGCUCUGUGCCACGUGGCUGCCCCGGGUCUCUUUAUGAGCCCUCCCCUCGCUGCAGUUUUCCUGCACUGCUGCUCUGCUUUUCCACAGGUCCUGGCUGUAUUUCGUGCCUGUGGGGCACUGCCAGCAGUGUGUGCUGUGCAGGGCUCUGGGUUCUGCCAUGGCCCAGCCGGGGCAGAGCAGGGCUGUGAGGCUCAGUGCAGCCCCCAGACUGCGACUUGCAGCUCUCACCUCCAGCUCAUCCCUUGGUGGAGGCAAAUCUCCCCUAAAUGAGAUCCUUUUGAGCAUAACUCGUGUGUAGCACAGGGGAUAACUGCUCCGCUCGCGGCUCUGAAGGUUCCAUUUCAUAUUGCGUUUAAUGUCUCACCUGAAGACUUACGGACUUUAUGUGUGCAAUUCAUCCCGGCGCUUACAAAAAUCCCCCACAUCCACGCUCAGAUUCACUGCUGCUGCAGCCCUGCCCAGCUCUGAGUGCCAAGCAGGGCUGCUGCGAUUUGUGGGUCGCCAAAGGGGAUCUCAGGAUGCAGAAAUAAAUGUGCCCCGCUCGAUUAAUGGCGAGGAGCCCGCAGAGCCCUGGCAGCACUCAGCCCAGCCUGGCAUUGCAGGAUGGAUCCCUCCAAGAAAUUUUAAUUAACUUAAAACAAAUGCACAGGAAAGGGCCAGCCAUUAGCUGCUAUUGCUUCCCGAGUCUCAUCUCUGCUAAUUAAGCAGCGUGUCAGUGCAAACGACCUGCAGAUAGCAAAGCACCGAAUUUGCAUUUAAAUUAAAAACGAUAUAUAUUUUUUUUUUAAUAAAUAAAGGUUUCAUUACGCCC
rnacentral:lncRNA from 1 species